rnacentral:rRNA from 1 species
AUUGAACGCUGGCGGCGUGCCUAACACAUGCAAGUCGAGCGGUAACAGGUGUAGCAAUACAUGCUGACGAGCGGCGGACGGGUGAGUAACGCUUGGGAAUCUGCCUGUUAGUGGGGGACAACCCGGGGAAACUCGGGCUAAUACCGCAUACGCACUACGGUGGAAAGCCGGGGACCCGCAAGGCCUGGCGCUAACAGAUGAGCCCAAGUCGGAUUAGCUAGUUGGUAGGGUAACGGCCUACCAAGGCGACGAUCCGUAACUGGUCUGAGAGGACGACCAGUCACACCGGAACUGAGACACGGUCCGGACUCCUACGGGAGGCAGCAGUGGGGAAUACUGGACAAUGGGCGAAAGCCUGA